GUGAGUCAUCGAGUCUUUGAACGCACCUUGCACCGUAUGAGUAAUCGUACGGUAUACCUGUUUGAGAAUCGUUAAAACCUCUCUUCACUAGUUAGUGGAUGGACUUGUCGACUGUGCCCUCCUUGGGGGUGGUACUCUGAUUAAACGCAGCAAGUCUGGAUCGGGCUGGUGGCCUGGGACAUUGUGUGAUAGAGACGCGUCUUCUGGACUGUCUUCUCACAGUGCGUCCUGGGCUAUCCAAGCUGGCUCGGUCGGAGGACUUUCUGGUCGCCUCGGUGACAACCUCUGUUCUUGAUCUCAAAUCAGGUAAGGCUACCCGCUGAACUUAAGCAUAUCAAUAAGGCGAGG
rnacentral:rRNA from 1 species